UACGGGGGGGGCAAGCGUUGUUCGGAAUUACUGGGCGUAAAGGGCCAGUAGGCGGCCAACUAAGUCGGAUGUGAAAUCCCCAGGCUCAACUUGGGAACUGCAUCCGAUACUGGAUGGCUUGAAUUCGGGAGAGGGAUGCAGAAUUCCCGGUGUAGCAGUGAAAUGCGUAGAGAUCGGGAGGAACAUCUGUGGCGAAGGCGACUGCCUGGACCAGCACUGACACUGAGGCACGAAAGCGUGGGGAGCAAACAGG
rnacentral:rRNA from 1 species